CAGUCGCCGCGGUAAUACAGAGGGUGCGAGCGUUAAUCGGAUUUACUGGGCGUAAAGCGUGCGUAGGCGGCUUCUUAAGUCGGAUGUGAAAUCCCUGAGCUUAACUUAGGAAUUGCAUUCGAUACUGGGAAGCUAGAGUAUGGGAGAGGAUGGUAGAAUUCCAGGUGUAGCGGUGAAAUGCGUAGAGAUCUGGAGGAAUACCGAUGGCGAAGGCAGCCAUCUGGCCUAAUACUGACGCUGAGGUACGAAAGCGUGGGGAGCAAACAGGAUUAGAUACCCCCGUAGUCCCUGUCUCUUAUAA
rnacentral:rRNA from 1 species